AGCGAACGCUGGCGGCAGGCCUAACACAUGCAAGUCGAACGAAGUCUUCGGACUUAGUGGCGGACGGGUGAGUAACACGUGGGAACGUGCCUUUAGGUUCGAAAUAACUCAGGGAAACUUGUGCUAAUACCGAAUGUGCCCUUCGGGGGAACGAUUUAUCGCCUUUAGAGCGGCCCGCGUCUGAUUAGCUAGUUGGUGAGGUAAAGGCUCACCAAGGCUACGAUCAGUAGCUGGUCUGAGAGGAUGACCAGCCACAUUGGGACUGAGACACGGCCCAAACUCCUACGGGAGGCAGCAGUGGGGAAUCUUGCGCAAUGGGCGAAAGCCUGACGCAGCCAUGCCGCGUGGAUGAUGAAGGUCUUAGGAUUGUAAAAUCCUUUCACCGGUGAAGAUAAUGACUGUAGCCGGAGAAGAAGCCCCGGCUAACUUCGUGCCAGCAGCCGCCGUAAGAC
rnacentral:rRNA from 1 species